rnacentral:rRNA from 1 species
GGAGGGGGCAAGCGUUUGUUCGGAAUUACUGGGCGUAAAGGGCGCGUAGGCGGAAGAUCAAGUCAGGGGUGAAAGGCCUGGGCUCAACCCGGGAACUGCCUUUGAAACUGAUUUUCUAGAGUACGGGAGAGGAUGGCGGAAUUCCCAGUGUAGAGGUGAAAUUCGUAGAUAUUGGGAAGAACACCAGUGGCGAAGGCGGCCAUCUGGCCCGGUACUGACGCUAAGGCGCGAAAGCGUGGGGAGCAAACAGGAUUAGAUACCCUGGUAGUCCACGCCGUAAACGAUGUGUGCUAGCCGUUGGGGCCUCAGGCUUCGGUGGCGCAGUUAACGCGUUAAGCACACCGCCUGGGGAGUACGGCCGCAAGGUUA